rnacentral:rRNA from 1 species
GACGAACGCUGGCGGCGUGCCUAAUACAUGCAAGUUGAGCGCUGAAGGUUGGUACUUGUACCAACUGGAUGAGCAGCGAACGGGUGAGUAACGCGUGGGGAAUCUGCCUUUGAGCGGGGGACAACAUUUGGAAACGAAUGCUAAUACCGCAUAAAAACUUUAAACACAAGUUUUAAGUUUGAAAGAUGCAAUUGCAUCACUCAAAGAUGAUCCCGCGUUGUAUUAGCUAGUUGGUGAGGUAAAGGCUCACCAAGGCGAUGAUACAUGGCCGACCUGAGAGGGUGAUCGGCCACAUUGGGACUGAGACACGGCCCAAACUCCUACGGGAGGCAGCAGUAGGGAAUCUUCGGCAAUGGACGAAAGUCUGACCGAGCAACGCCGCGUGAGUGAAGAAGGUUUUCGGAUCGUAAAACUCUGUUGGUAGAGAAGAACGUUGGUGAGAGUGGAAAGCUCAUCAAGUGACGGUAACUACCCAGAAAGGGACGGCUAACUACGCG